CAAAGGUUUGGUCCUAGCCUUCCUAUUGAUUAUUAACAGAAUUACACAUGCAAGUCUCUACACCCCAGUGAGAAUGCCCUCCAAAUCUAUAUGUUGAUUAAAAGGAGCGGGUAUCAAGCACACUAAAUUAGUAGCUCAUAACGCCUUGCUCAACCACACCCCCACGGGAUACAGCAGUGAUAAAAAUUAAGCCAUAAACGAAAGUUUGACUAAGCCAUGUUAACAAAGAGCUGGUAAAUUUCGUGCCAGCCACCGCGGUCAUACGAUUAGCCCGAAUCAAUAGGCAAACGGCGUAAAACGUGUUAAGGAUUAUAUUAUACUAAAGUUAAAAUUUGACAAGGCUGUAAAAAGCUACUGUUAAUAUAAGAUAAACCACGAAAGUGACUUUAUUACUUCCAUCAACACGAUAGCUGAGACCCAAACUGGGAUUAGAUACCCCACUAUGCUCAGCCCUAAACAUAAAUAAUUAUCACAACAAAAUUAUCUGCCAGAGAA
rnacentral:rRNA from 1 species